AAACUGAAGAGUUUGAUCCUGGCUCAGAUUGAACGCUGGCGGUAUGCUUAACACAUGCAAGUCGAACGGCAGCACGAGGAGAGUUUACUCUCUUCGGUGGCGAGUGGCGGACGGGUGAGUAAUGCAUAGGAAUCUACCUUUUAGUCUAGGAUAACUACCCGAAAGGGUGGCUAAUACUGGAUGUGGACUACGGUUUAAAGCAGGGGACCUUCGGGCCUUGCGCUAAGAGAUGAGCCUAUGUGGGAUUAGCUAGUUGGUGAGGUAACGGCUCACCAAGGCGACGAUCUCUAGCUGGUUUGAGAGGAUGAUCAGCCACACUGGGACUGAGACACGGCCCAGACUCCU
rnacentral:rRNA from 1 species